GACGUAGGGGGCGAGCGUUGUCCGGAUUUAUUGGGCGUAAAGCGUGCGUAGGCGGCUGCGCAAGUCGGUUGUGAAACCCCGGGGCUCAACCCCGGAACUGCAUCCGAUACUGCGUGGCUAGAGGUAGGUAGGGGAGAUCGGAAUUCCUGGUGUAGCGGUGAAAUGCGCAGAUAUCAGGAAGAACACCAAUGGCGAAAGCAGCUCUCUGGGACGGUACUGACGCUGAGCACGCGAAAGCGUGGGGAGCAAACAGG
rnacentral:rRNA from 1 species